GACGAACGCUGGCGGCGUGCUUAACACAUGCAAGUCGAACGGAAAGGCCCUGCUUUUGUGGGGUGCUCGAGUGGCGAACGGGUGAGUAACACGUGAGUAACCUGCCCUUGACUUUGGGAUAACUUCAGGAAACUGGGGCUAAUACCGGAUAGGAGCUCCUGCUGCAUGGUGGGGGUUGGAAAGUUUCGGCGGUUGGGGAUGGACUCGCGGCUUAUCAGCUUGUUGGUGGGGUAGUGGCUUACCAAGGCUUUGACGGGUAGCCGGCCUGAGAGGGUGACCGGCCACAUUGGGACUGAGAUACGGCACAGACUCCUACGGGAGGCAGCGGUGGGGAAUAUUGCACCAUGGGCGGAAGCCUGAUGCAGCAACGCCGCGUGCGGGAUGACGGCCUUCGGGUUGUAAACCGCUUUCGCCUGUGACGAAGCGUGAGUGACGGUAAUGGGUAAAGAAGCACCGGCUAACUACGUG
rnacentral:rRNA from 1 species